AGUGAACGCUGGCGGCGUGCCUAAUACCUGCAAGUCGAAGGAAGUGGCGCACGGGUGAGUAAUAUAUCGCUAAUCUGCCCCUUGCUGGCGGACCACAGUUAGAACUGACUGCUCAUACUCCAUAGCAAGGGAUGAGACUAUAUCGUAUCAGCUAGUCGGUGGGGUAACGGCCUACCGAGGCUACGACGCGUAACUGGUCUGGGAGGAUGAUCAGGAAAAUUGGAACUGAGACACGGGCCAAACUCCUACGGGAGGCAGCAGUAGGGAAUAUUGCGCAAUGGGGGAAAGCCUGACGCAGCAACGCAGCGUGGAGGAUGAAACUUUUCGGAGCGUAAACGCCUUUUGUUAGGGAAGCGGUACCUAACGAAUAAGCACCGGCUAACUCCGUGCCAGCAGCCGCGGUAAUUC
rnacentral:rRNA from 1 species